rnacentral:rRNA from 1 species
AGAACGAACGCUGGCGGCAUGCCUAACACAUGCAAGUCGAACGAGACCUUCGGGUCUAGUGGCGCACGGGUGCGUAACGCGUGGGAAUCUGCCCUUCGGUUCGGAAUAACAGUUAGAAAUGACUGCUAAUACCGGAUAAUGACGUAAGUCCAAAGAUUUAUCGCCGAAGGAUGAGCCCGCGUAAGAUUAGCUUGUUGGUGAGGUAAAGGCUCACCAAGGCUACGAUCUUUAGCUGGUCUGAGAGGAUGAUCAGCCACACUGGGACUGAGACACGGCCCAGACUCCUACGGGAGGCAGCAGUGGGGAAUAUUGGACAAUGGGCGAAAGCCUGAUCCAGCAAUGCCGCGUGAGUGAUGAAGGCCUUAGGUUGUAAAGCUCUUUACCGGGAUGAUAAUGACAGUACCGGAGAAUAAGACUCGGCUAACUCCGUGCCAGCACGCCGC